rnacentral:rRNA from 1 species
CCUACGGGGGGCAGCAGUGGGGAAUAUUGCACAAUGGGGGAAACCCUGAUGCAGCGACGCCGCGUGAGUGAAGAAGUAUUUCGGUAUGUAAAGCUCUAUCAGCAGGGAAGAAGAAGGACGGUACCUGAGUAAGAAGCCCCGGCUAACUACGUGCCAGCAGCCGCGGUAAUACGUAGGGGGCAAGCGUUAUCCGGAUUUACUGGGUGUAAAGGGAGCGUAGACGGCUAUGCAAGUCUGGAGUGAAAUGCCGGGGCUCAACCCCGGAGCAGCUCUGGAAACUGCGUGGCUUGAGUGUCGGGGGGGCG